GGAUCGCAAGACCUUGCGCUCAUUGAGCGGCCGAUGCCUGAUUAGCUAGUUGGUGAGGUAAAGGCUUACCAAGGCGACGAUCAGUAGCUGGUCUGAGAGGACGACCAGCCACACUGGGACUGAGACACGGCCCAGACUCCUACGGGAGGCAGCAGUGGGGAAUUUUGGACAAUGGGGGAAACCCUGAUCCAGCCAUGCCGCGUGAGUGAAGAAGGCCUUCGGGUUGUAAAGCUCUUUCAGCCGGAGCGAAACGGUCACGGCUAAUACCUGUGACCACUGACGGUACCGGAAGAAGAAGCACCGGCUAACUACGUGCCAGCAGCCGCGGUAAUACGUAGGGUGCAAGCGUUAAUCGGAAUUACUGGGCGUAAAGCGUGCGCAGGCGGUUUUGUAAGUCAGAUGUGAAAUCCCCGGGCUUAACCUGGGAACUGCGUUUGAAA
rnacentral:rRNA from 1 species